GGUUCCAUGGUGUAGAGGUUAUCACGCCUGCUUUACAUGCAGAGGGUCCUGGGUUCGGUCCCCAGUGGAACCA